rnacentral:tmRNA from 1 species
GGGGGCGACAUGGUUUCGACGCAGGUCGUGAAUCCUGAGGUGCAUGUCGAGGAUGUAGCUUUCCCUCGUUAAAAAAAGCUGCCAACUUUAAAAUAGUUGCCAACGACGAAAACUACGCUCUAGCGGCCUAAAUCCCGCUGGCCGCCGACUGGUAAGUGCUUGUGCUUCCAACUCGGCGGACGUAGCUCACAAGCUAAGCCCGCACGUGUGCCCUAGCGUUCGGGUCUAAAAUCUACAGGGAUCGCCACUUGUGUUCCGUCGCUCAUUCGGGAGCAGGUGGUUAAAAAAAUAAAUGGGCUAAGCAUGUAGAUCCAAGGGUGGAUCCCCUGCGGACGCGGGUUCGAUUCCCGCCGCCUCCACCA